rnacentral:rRNA from 1 species
UACGAAGGGGGCUAGCGUUGCUCGGAAUCACUGGGCGUAAAGCGCACGUAGGCGGACUCUUAAGUCGGUGGUGAAAUCCUGGAGCUCAACUCCAGAACUGCCUUCGAUACUGAGAGUCUCGAGUCCGGGAGAGGUGAGUGGAACUGCGAGUGUAGAGGUGAAAUUCGUAGAUAUUAGGAAGAACACCAGUGGCGAAGGCGGUUCACUGGUCCGGUACUGACGCUGAGGUGCGAAAGCGUGGGGAGCAAACAGG